UUGGGGACGCCCGGAUCGUGAGUGCCAGGAUUGCGGAUCAGGCUGACUACGGUCUCCUGAAUCCUGCCAGUUUGCGACUCGGAUACACUAUGUGUCGCCGAGACCUGCCAGGGGAAUUGACAGAUUUACAGAGGAUUUGACAGUUUUACAGGGAUACACCUAAGUGGCCGUAGAAGAACGAAGGAAACCACUCGGGCCAUCAUCCUAGCUUCCGACCCACCACCAAAGUGUAGGAGUUCGUUGUAACUCUUUUGUAAAUCCUGUAAAGUUGUAUAGAAAUGCUCUGAGAUCUUGUUGAACAUAAGGAACUGGUAGGAUUUUUGAGACUGUUUGACAGGUGGAAGACUUUGUGUUUGGUCAAAAUACAGGGUAGACUCUGCCGGAUUUUCGGCAGAAGUCGAAAGUAAAUUUUAAGAAAUUUGUUUAA